GACGAACGCUAGCGGCGUGCUUAACACAUGCAAGUCGAACGCUGAAGCUCAGCUUUUGUUGGGUGGAUGAGUGGCGAACGGGUGAGUAACACGUGAGUAACCUGCCUCCUUCUUUGGGAUAACGCCCGGAAACGGGUGCUAAUACUGGAUAUUCACUGGUCUUCGCAUGGGGGUUGGUGGAAAGGGUUUUUCUGGUGGGGGAUGGGCUCGCGGCCUAUCAGCUUGUUGGUGGGGUGAUGGCCUACCAAGGCUUUGACGGGUAGCCGGCCUGAGAGGGUGACCGGUCACAUUGGGACUGAGAUACGGCCCAGACUCCUACGGGAGGCAGCAGUGGGGAAUAUUGCACAAUGGGCGCAAGCCUGAUGCAGCGACGCCGCGUGAGGGAUGGAGGCCUUCGGGUUGUGAACCUCUUUCGCUCAUGGUCAAGCCGCAACAAUGGUUGUGGUGAGGGUAGUGGGUAAAGAAGCGCCGGCUAACUACGUG
rnacentral:rRNA from 1 species